rnacentral:rRNA from 1 species
CCUACGGGAGGCAGCAGUGGGGAAUUUUGGACAAUGGGCGAAAGCCUGAUCCAGCAAUGCCGCGUGAGUGAAGAAGGCCUUCGGGUUGUAAAGCUCUUUUGUCAGGGAAGAAACGGUGAGAGCUAAUAUCUCUUGCUAAUGACGGUACCUGAAGAAUAAGCACCGGCUAACUACGUGCCAGCAGCCGCGGUAAUACGUAGGGUGCAAGCGUUAAUCGGAAUUACUGGGCGUAAAGCGUGCGCAGGCGGUUUUGUAAGUCUGAUGUGAAAUCCCCGGGCUCAACCUGGGAAUUGCAUUGGAGACUGCAAGGCUAGAAUCUGGCAGAGGGGGGUAGAAUUCCACGUGUAGCAGUGAAAUGCGUAGAUAUGUGGAGGAACACCGAUGGCGAAGGCAGCCCCCUGGGUCAAGAUUGACGCUCAUGCACGAAAGCGUGGGGAGCAAACAGGAUUAGAUACCCUGGUAGUCCACGCCCUAAACGAUGUCUACUAGUUGUCGGGUCUUAAUUGACUUGGUAACGCAGCUAACGCGUGAAGUAGACCGCCUGGGGGUAGGUAGUUCGCGAGAGUUAAACGUAACGAAGAAGUUAGAGGCGNGAGAGNGCGACGGACGACGACGAGGGAGGAGGAG